UUCACCUUGGAUUGAAAUGCUUUUCCCUGGAACUCUUUGCCCUUCUGCAGGGGGAUUGAAGAGCUCUGCUCCUUAGCUUGUGAGACAGAAUCACCGCGGGUGCUGAGAGAGAGCAGGAAAUCACCUUUGUAAAGCUGUCCAGAAAGCCUUGAAUUCAGCUUCCACAGAGGAUUCCACGAGGACCGCAAGCUGCUCAGUCUACAGGGAGCUGCUGCUGGAUCUGGUGCUCCUGCUGAGCCUCAGGUGAGAUAUAACCCUGCUACAGAUUAUAGACGUGUUUUGGUUGAAAUUCUCUGUGCUUGAUGCAUUAUCUGCCUACAACGCAGGGCAAACUCUGCUCCUCCCUUCUGGCCUGGCCUGUAAUGAUGGAUUAAGUAGAGCUGACACUUGGUGGAAGAGUUGCUGGUGUGCCUGGAGGUGCAGAGUGAGGUGGGCUGGCCAAAGGAGACCUCUGCUCCCCCGUAGACACUGAGCUGCUGCUUGGGAACGGAUCUUGGGGACCAGAAACAGCUCCUGAACCUCCAGCAAGUGACCUCGGGAUGCAAGUGGUGUCUGAAUCUCUUAGAGUCAUAGGAUUAUGAAGGUUGGAAUAAAGCACUGAGAUCAUCAGCCCAUCCCCACCAUGCCCACUAAACCAUGUUCCUCAGUGCCACAUUCUCCCUCAUUUUGGGACCGCCUGGGAGCUGGAAGGUUUAUUGUUAUGGAUGGUUUCAGCUGGAUUUCUCUCUUCUUUCAAACAAAGUGUUUCCUCUUGAA